rnacentral:rRNA from 1 species
CUGGAGGUAUCAGAAGUGCGAAUGCUGACAUAAGUAACGAUAAAGCGGGUGAAAAGCCCGCUCGCCGGAAGACCAAGGGUUCCUGUCCAACGUUAAUCGGGGCAGGGUGAGUCGACCCCUAAGGCGAGGCCGAAAGGCGUAGUCGAUGGGAAACGGGUUAAUAUUCCCGUACUUGGUGUUACUGCGAAGGGGGGACGGAGAAGGCUAUGUUGGCCGGGCGACGGUUGUCCCGGUUUAAGCGUGUAGGUGUGUGUUCCAGGUAAAUCCGGUUCACUUUAACACUGAGGCGUGACGACGAGGCACUACGGUGCUGAAGCAACAAAUGCCCUGCUUCCAGGAAAAGCCUCUAAGCAUCAGGUAACAUCAAAUCGUACCCCAAACCGACACAGGUGGUCAGGUAGAGAAUACCAAGGCGCUUGAGAGAACUCGGGUGAAGGAACUAGGCAAAAUGGUGCCGUAACUUCGGGAGAAGGCACGCUGACACGUAGGUGAAGUGAUUUACUCAUGGAGCUGAAGUCAGUCGAAGAUACCAGCUGGCUGCAACUGUUUAUUAAAAACACAGCACUGUGCAAACACGAAAGUGGACGUAUACGGUGUGACGCCUGCCCGGUGCCGGAAGGUUAAUUGAUGGGGUCAGCGCAAGCGAAGCUCCUGAUCGAAGCCCCGGUAAACGGCGGCCGUAACUAUAACGGUCCUAAGGUAGCGAAAUUCCUUGUCGGGUAAGUUCCGACCUGCACGAAUGGCGUAAUGAUGGCCAGGCUGUCUCCACCCGAGACUCAGUGAAAUUGAACUCGCUGUGAAGAUGCAGUGUACCCGCGGCAAGACGGAAAGACCCCGUGAACCUUUACUAUAGCUUGACACUGAACAUUGAGCCUUGAUGUGUAGGAUAGGUGGGAGGCUUUGAAGUG